UGGGUCGGCUGGACGGUCGCGUGGCGGGGCAAUCCGCACCGAGGAACGUCCGGGCUCCACAGGGCAGGGCGGUGGGUAACACCCACCCGGAGCAAUCCGCGAGACAGUGCCACAGAGAGCAGACCGCCGCUGGUCCCCGAGCUUGUCGAGGGGUCCAGUGGUAAGGGUGAAAGGGUGGCGUAAGAGACCACCGGGGCCGUGGUGACACGGCUCGCACGGUAAACCUCGUCCGGAGCAAGGCCAGACAGGGGAUGUUGACGCGGCUCGCCGAGUCCCCGGGUAGGCCGCUGGAGCGGCACGGCAACGUGUCGCCGAGAGAGAUGACCGUCCACGGAGCGCGAGCAUGUCUCAGACUCCAGGACAGAACCCGGCGUACAGGCCGGCCCAUUCG
rnacentral:RNase_P_RNA from 3 species